rnacentral:rRNA from 1 species
AUUGAACGCUGGCGGCAGGCCUAACACAUGCAAGUCGAGCGGAUGAAGGGAGCUUGCUCCUGGAUUCAGCGGCGGACGGGUGAGUAAUGCCUAGGAAUCUGCCUGGUAGUGGGGGAUAACGUCCGGAAACGGGCGCUAAUACCGCAUACGUCCUGAGGGAGAAAGUGGGGGAUCUUCGGACCUCACGCUAUCAGAUGAGCCUAGGUCGGAUUAGCUAGUUGGUGGGGUAAAGGCCUACCAAGGCGACGAUCCGUAACUGGUCUGAGAGGAUGAUCAGUCACACUGGAACUGAGAAACGGUCCAGACUCCUACGGGAGGAAGCAGUGGGGAAUAUUGGACAAUGGGGGAAAGCCUGAUCCAGCCAUGCCGCGUGUGUGAAGAAGGUCUUCGGAUUGUAAAGCACUUUAAGUUGGGAGGAAGGGCAGUAAGUUAAUACCUUGCUGUUUUGACGUUACCAACAGAAUAAGCACCGGCUAACUUCGUG